rnacentral:rRNA from 1 species
GCAUAACGCGAAGAACCUUACCCACCUUUGACAUGUACGGAAUCCUGCAGAGACGCAGGAGUGCUCGAAAGAGAGCCGUAACACAGGUGCUGCAUGGCUGUCGUCAGCUCGUGUCGUGAGAUGUUGGGUUAAGUCCCGCAACGAGCGCAACCCUUGCCAUUAGUUGCUACGAAAGGGCACUCUAAUGGGACUGCCGGUGACAAACCGGAGGAAGGUGGGGAUGACGUCAAGUCCUCAUGGCCCUUAUAGGUGGGGCUACACACGUCACACAAUGGCUGGUACAAAGGGUUGCCAACCCGCGAGGGGGAGCCAAUCCCAUAAAGCCAGUCGUAGUCCGGAUCGCAGUCUGCAACUCGACUGCGUGAAGUCGGAAUCGCUAGUAAUCGUGGAUCAGAAUGUCACGGUGAAUACGUUCCCGGGUCUUGUACACACCG